rnacentral:lncRNA from 1 species
UUGCUACUGCUUCUCAACUGAUCGUUUCCACUGUUGACACUCCUAUUGAUCAUGCUGGAUUGGUUACUCAAGUAUCGUAGACACUAAAUACUCAAUCUAUUGGUUCCUCUAUUGACAUUCAAUCUGAGUUUUCUAUUUUGGUUGUUCUUCAUUGCAUUGAUAAGGGGCUAUCAUCUUCCUCCCCAGCUUAAUGAAGGUGCUUAUAUGAAAUUAUCGAAGAGCUGCCAAGCCCUCAUUUUAUAAGUACUCUAAAAUAUUAUUAAAUAAAUAUAAAUCACAUAUUU